GUCGGGAUAGCUCAGUCGGUAGAGCAGAGGACUGAAAAUC
rnacentral:tRNA from 18 species